UGUGGUACUUCCCCCCAUGACUCUCUUGCUCUCUUCAUGUGACAUGCCUUACUCCUGGUCACCUUCUGCCACAAUUAUAAGCUCCCUGAGGCCUCACUGGAAGCAGAUGCCAGCACCAUGCUUCCGGUAAAGCCUGCAGAACUGUGACCAAUUAUACCUCUUUUCGUUAUAAAGCACCCGGCAUCAGAUCAUUGAGAACAUCUUUGUUACUGGCACUGUCUACAUGGUAUUUUGAGCAGAGUUUUGCAGUGUUUCCAAGUGCUGCAGUUUCUUCCCACAGAGAGAUGGCCACUACAGACUCUAGCUGCCAGAAGAAUUUCCCCCAGAUCUGGAAAGUUUCUACAGUUGCUUACCUCGAAUAUUCACAUCCAGAGAGGUACUUCCUCCAAAGUGCGGUUUUCCAACAACUCCAUAAUGAUAACGUGGGAACUGGACCUGGCUCUGCCAACAGAUGUCAAUACUUUCAUGAUGAAGAGAAAUAGCGAUUCCUUCAUGAUCUGCUUCAAAAUAUUGGAAUAGAUUUUAGUGAUUCUGGAAUGGAUGAGAAGAUUUGACAGAAGCAUUGUUUUACUUUUUAAAUUUUCCUUCAAAUUACAAAUCAGCAUAACCAUUUCCAGGACAUUUUGCUUCAGCAAGGUCUUUUAUUUAGUCGUGUAGCAAGCGAUCUUGCAGGAUGACUCAAGACAAUACAUCUUUGUGUUGGAGAAAAUCCAAGUUUUUAGUGCUUUCCAAUUGACCCUUUUACUAAAGCAAAAGAGGCAGACUGUGCAGUGUAUUUUCAGGAUGUAAGGGAUCACUUCAGCUUUGUUCGGUCCCUGCUUCCAUAGGUAAUAUGUUCCACAAUGCAAGCAAAAUCCAAGGGGGGAGACAGAGAUAAAGAGAGAUUCUUGGCCAGGCGCGGUGACCCAUGCCUGUAAUCCCAGCACUUUGGGAGGCCGAGGCAGACGGAUCACGAGGUAAGGAGAUCGAGACCAUCCUGGCUAACACGGUGAAACCCCGUCUCUACUAAAAAUACAAAAAAUCAGCCGGGCGUGGUGGCAGGCGCCUGUAGUCCCAGCUACUUGGGAGGCUGAGGCAGGAGAAUGGCGUGAACCCGGAAGGCGGAGCUUGCAGUGAGCCGAGAUUGUGCCACUGCACUCCAACCUGGGCGACAGAGUGAGGCUCCGUCUCA